rnacentral:rRNA from 1 species
CCUACGGGAGGCAGCAGUGAGGAAUAUUGGUCAAUGGCCGAGAGGCUGAACCAGCCAAGUCGCGUGAGGGAUGACGGCCCUACGGGUUGUAAACCUCUUUUGUCGGGGAGCAAAGAGAGUCACGUGUGGCUCAUUGAGAGUACCCGAAGAAAAAGCAUCGGCUAACUCCGUGCCAGCAGCCGCGGUAAUACGGAGGAUGCGAGCGUUAUCCGGAUUUAUUGGGUUUAAAGGGUGCGCAGGCGGAUUUUUAAGUCAGCGGUCAAAUCGUGGGGCUCAACCCCAUCCAGCCGUUGAAACUGGGGAUC